UGGGAGAGUGUCAUGGUUACUUAUU
rnacentral:piRNA from 1 species